UUUAAGUCAGUUGUGAAAGUUUGCGGCUCAACCGUAAAAUUGCAAUUGAUACUGGAUAUCUUGAGUGCAGUUGAGGCAGGCGAAUUUCGUGGUGUAGCGGUGAAAUGCUUAGAUAUCACGAAGAACUCCGAUUGCGAAGGCAGCCUGCUAAACUGCAACUGACAUUGAGGCUCGAAAGUGUGGGUAUCAAACAGGAUUAGAUACCCUGGUAGUCCACACGGUAAACGAUGAAUACUCGCUGUUUGCGAUAUACUGCAAGCGGCCAAGCGAAAGCGUUAAGCAUUCCACCUGGGGAGUACGCCGGCAACGGUGAAACUCAAAGGAAUUGACGGGGGCCCGCACAAGCGGAGGAACAUGUGGUUUAAUUCGAUGAUACGCGAGGAACCUUACCCGGGCUUAAAUUGCAGAUGAAUUACGGUGAAAGCCGUAAGCCGCAAGGCAUCUGUGAAGGUGCUGCAUGGUUGUCGUCAGCUCGUGCCGUGAGGUGUCGGCUUAAGUGCCAUAACGAGCGCAACCCUUGUUGUCAGUUACUAACAGGUUCCGCUGAGGACUCUGACAAGACUGCCAUCGUAAGAUGUGAGGAAGGUGGGGAUGACGUCAAAUCAGCACGGCCCUUACGUCCGGGGCUACGCACGUGUUACAAUGGGGGGUACAGAGGGCCGCUACCACGCGAGUGGAUGCCAAUCCCCAAAACCUCUCUCAGUUCGGACUGGAGUCUGCAACCCGACUCCACGAAGCUGGAUUCGCUAGUAAUCGAGCAUCAGCCACGGCGCGGUGAAUACGUUCCCGGGCCUUGUACACACCGCCCGUCAAGCCAUGGGAGCCGGGGGUACCAGGAGUGCGUAACCGCGAGGAGCGCCCUAGGGUAAAAC
rnacentral:rRNA from 1 species